GAUUUCUUACCUGUCAGAUUAUCAGAAACCUGAGGUCGUAUGCCCAGCUGACUUCACCUCCGAUACACUCACUGUAUCAUUCUCAGCGGAUGCCACAGACAAUGCUGACCCUGCACCAGAGUUGACCUAUGAGCCUCUAGGGCCAGGUUCUACCUUCCCUCUGGGUCCAACGACAGUCACUGUCACAGCCAUAGACAGAUAUGGUAACGGAGACUCAUGCACAUUUACUGUUACGGUGACAGAUAAUGUAAAUCCUGUGGUCGAAUGCCCAGCUGACUUCACCUCCGAUACACUCACUGUAUCAUUCCCGGUGGAUGUCACAGACAAUGUUGAUCCUGCACCAGCGUUGACCUAUGAGCCUCUAGGGCCAGGUUCUGUUUUUCCUCUGGGUCCAACGACAGUCACUGUCACAGCCACAGACAGUUCAUCAAACGAACACUCAUGUUCAUUUACUGUUACGGUGACAGUUACUAGCUGCUUUUGAGAAUAAUACAUUCUGGAAGCAUGCAAGUGGUGGAAUUCCAGAACCGUUUUCAGGCCAGAUACUCCAGUUCUUUCUCGGUGAACUCACCCCUGCUAAUUAUCAACUUUACCGUGGUCAUGUCAUAGUCAAACAACGGUCAUAUUAUCGUCACCCUUCCCAGGCCCAGUAACAACUCGGGAUACAAAUUUCUUCAUAAUAUUUAAAGGAACGUAGAUUUUAUUAAUUCAUCAUGGUAGUCAUCACAUCAGGGGUGGAAUAAAUGUUUGCACCAAUA